AAAUUAUUAAGCCACCAUUAUGACCUAAAAAUCAAGCAUUAAUCUAUCCAAAAAGUCUCAUAGAAUUAUGCAAACGCAAGAUUAAACUUAAAAGGAUGAAAUCAGUCUAAUUUUUCCAGAUUUAGGCCAUAUCAGAAUAAGGGGGAAAUUUGGGGUUCAAUCACAACAAAAUAGGGACUUAAUUGAAUAAAAUUUGGAAGUCAUGCAGGCUUUAAUGUGAUUUCACCAAAGGUCCAGGGCCAAUUGCAAAAUUUUCAGAAACUUAUUCAUUCAGGCUUCACAGAAACAUUUCUUCUUCUUAUGCAAAUGAACGUGAGAACGUUUCUGCAACUUCUGAUGCUUCAAAAUCCAUUAAUUUCACGCGGCAAAACACACUACAUCAUCCGACACCAAAAACAUUGAAAAUGACAAGAAUUGAUUCCAAAAUUCCUUUAUUUCUUUUCCUUUCCCCAAUUAACAAACGGGCAGAUUCUAGCUAACUUUGGACCGGCUGGCAUUCCUCUCUCACGGAUAUAGAAGAACACCCAAAAUCUUUCCUUUUUUGAUUCAAGACUUUGGUUUGGGCAUUUUAGCAAACAAUACAUGAGCAUAAAAAUUUUUAGCAAAUCUGUGAGCAAUCAAGAUAGCAACCAACCCCAAAAUUAUUUAAGAACAAAGAACUUCAACUCCAAUCAUCAUACGCAGUAUGUAUAUUCAAAAAAAUUGAGGCCAAGUAGCAGAAAAAUUACACUAGAGCAAGCCACGGCGGUUACAUUUAAAAAAGACUGGACAAGAACUUGAGAAAUUUUGGAGAGAAACGAAACUUACAGUGCCUCUAUUCAGUGAAAAUUCGCGGAUGGAGAUGGGAAAUUCUGGAGCUAAUGGCC
rnacentral:lncRNA from 1 species